rnacentral:rRNA from 1 species
GGAUAACCUGCCCUAAGGAAGGGGAUAACCUCGGGAAACUGAGGAUAAUACCCUAUAGGUUACAGACGCUGGAAUGCCCUGUAACCGAAAGUUCCGGCGCCUUAGGAUGGAUCUGCGGCCGAUUAGGUUGUUGUUGGGGUAACGGCCCAACAAGCCGAUAAUCGGUACGGGUUGUGGGAGCAAGAGCCCGGAGUUGGGUUCUGAGACACGAAUCCAGGCCCUACGGGGCGCAGCAGGCGCGAAAACUUUACAAUGCGGGAAACCGUGAUAAGGGAACCUCGAGUGCCUGUAUAUGCAGGCUGUCCAGGUGUCUAAAAAACACCUGAAGAAAGGGCCGGGCAAGUCCGGUGCCAGCCGCCGCGGUAAUACCGGCGGCUCGAGUGGUGGCCACUUUUAUUGGGCUUAAAGCGUUCGUAGCUGGGUUGUUAAGUCUCUUGGGAAAUCUGGCGGCUUAACCGUCAGGCGUCCGAGGGAUACCGGCAAUCUUGGAACCGGGAGAGGUGAGGGGUACUUCGGGGGUAGGAGUGAAAUCCUGUAAUCCUCGAGGGACCACCUGUGGCGAAGGCGCCUCACCAGAACGGCUUCGACAGUGAGGGACGAAAGCUGGGGGAGCAAACCGGAUUAGAUACCCGGGUAGUCCCAGCCCUAAACGAUGCGCGUUAGGUGUAUCGGUGACCACGAGUCACCGAGGUGCCGAAGGGAAACCGUGAAACGUGCCACCUGGGAAGUACGGCCGCAAGGCUGAAACUUAA